rnacentral:misc_RNA from 1 species
GCUGCAGCUCGCCCCCAAAAUCACACCCAGUUCAUCCCCGCCGUCGCCUCUUCCAAAACCCUAACCCUAGUCCUCAGAAGCCCCAACAGCCAUGGCGGCCCCCAGGGAGCUCUCUCAGAAGGAGCAGGACGUGGCGAUGAUGCUUGCCGCCGACGUCCACCUCGGGACGAAGAACUGCAACUUUCAGAUGGAGCGCUACGUCUACAAG